rnacentral:rRNA from 1 species
CUACCCUAGAGUCUGGAAUAACCGGCCGAAAGGCUGGCUAAUACUGGAUAGAGCGAUGGAAUCCGUAAUUGGGUUUUUCGGGAAAGGGAGCUUGUAAGAGCCCUCGCUUUAGGAUGAGCCUGCGUCUCAUUAGGUAGUUGGUGGGGUAAUGGCCUACCAAGCCUUUGAUGAGUAGCUGGUCUGAGAGGAUGAUCAGCCACACUGGAACUGAAACACGGUCCAG